AGCGAACGCUGGCGGCAGGCCUAACACAUGCAAGUCGAACGAACUCUUCGGAGUUAGUGGCGGACGGGUGAGUAACACGUGGGAACGUGCCUUUUGGCUCGGAAUAACUCAGGGAAACUUGUGCUAAUACCGAAUGUGCCCUUCGGGGGGAAGAUUUAUCGCCAUUAGAGCGGCCCGCGUCUGAUUAGCUAGUUGGUGAGGUAACGGCUCACCAAGGCGACGAUCAGUAGCUGGUCUGAGAGGAUGACCAGCCACACUGGGACUGAGACACGGCCCAGACUCCUACGGGAGGCAGCAGUGGGGAAUCUUGCGCAAUGGGCGAAAGCCUGACGCAGCCAUGCCGCGUGAAUGAUGAAGGUCUUAGGAUUGUAAAAUUCUUUCACCGGGGACGAUAAUGACGGUACCCGGAGAAGAAGCCCCGGCUAACUUCGUG
rnacentral:rRNA from 1 species